rnacentral:rRNA from 1 species
UAGAGAAUCCUAAGGCCGACGGAAGAAGCAUUGUUAAGGAAUUCGGCAAAAUGACCCCGUAACUUCGGGAGAAGGGGUGCCUGCGAGAGCAGGCCGCAGAGAAUAGGCUCAAGCAACUGUUUAGCAAAAACACAGGUCUAUGCGAAACCGAAAGGUGAAGUAUAUGGGCUGACGCCUGCCCGGUGCUGGAAGGUUAAGAGGAGAGGUUAGCGUAAGCGAAGCCUUGAAUUUAAGCCCCAGUAAACGGCGGCCGUAACAAUAACGGUCCUAAGGUAGCGAAAUUCCUUGUCGGGUAAGUUACGACCCGCACGAAAGGCGUAAUGAUUUGAGCACUGUCUCGACAAUGCAUCCGGUGAAAUUGAAGUACCAGUGAAGAUGCUGGUUACCCGCGCCAGGACGGAAAGACCCCAUGGAGCUUUACUCCAGUUUGAUACUGGGAUUCGGUACUGCAUGUACAGGAUAGGUGGGAGACGAAGAAGGAUGGACGCCAGUCUGUCCGGAGUCGCUGUUGGGAUACCACCCCUGUAGUACCGGGUUUCUAACCAGUUGCCAUGAACUGGCAAUGGGACAAUGUCAGGCGGGGAGUUUGACUGGGGCGGUCGCCUCCGAAAGGGUAUCGGAGGCGCUCAAAGGUUCCCUCAGAAUGGUUGGAAACCAUUUGAAGAGUGCAAAGGCAGAAGGGAGCUUGACUGCGACACCGACGGGUGGAGCAGGUACGAAAGUAGGACUUAGUGAUCCGGUGGUAUAAAGUGGGAUUGCCAUCGCUCAACGGAUAAAAGCUACCCUGGGAUAACAGGCUUAUCACUCCCAAGAGUUCACAUCGACGGAGUGGUUUGGCACCUCGAUGUCGGCUCAUCGCAUCCUGGGGCUGUAGCAGGUCCCAAGGGUUGGGCUGUUCGCCCAUUAAAGCGGUACGCGAGCUGGGUUCAGAACGUCGUGAGACAGUUCGGUCCCUAUCCGGCGCGGGCGGAGGAUAUUUGAGAGGAGCUGUCCUUAGUACGAGAGGACCGGGAUGGACGGACCACUGGUGUAUCUGUUGUCGACCAACGGCAUGGCAGAGUAGCCAAGUCUGGAAGGGAUAAACGCUGAAGGCAUCUAAGCGUGAAGCCCCCCUCAAGAUGAGAUAUCCCUCCUUCGGGAGUAAGACCCCUUGAAGACUACAAGGUAGAUAGGGCAGAGGUGGAAGCAUGGCAACAUGUGGAGCUGACUGUUACUAAUAGGUCGAGGGCUUAAU